GACGAACGCUGGCGGCGUGGAUUAGGCAUGCAAGUCGAGCGAGAACCGUAGCAAUACGGGGACAGCGGCGAAAGGGACAGUAAUGUGUAGGUACCUACCCCGAGGUCUGGGAUAGCUGCGGGAAACUGCAGGUAAUACCGGAUAAUGUCUUCGGACCAAAGGUGUGAUUACACCUUGGGAGGGGCCUGCAUCCUAUUAGCUUGUUGGCGGGGUAACGGCCCACCAAGGCGACGAUGGGUAGCGGGUGUGAGAGCACGACCCGCGUCAUUGGGACUGAGACACUGCCCAGACACCUACGGGUGGCUGCAGUCGAGGAUCUUCGGCAAUGGGCGCAAGCCUGACCGAGCGACGCCGCGUGCGGGAUGAAGGCCCUCGGGUUGUAAACCGCUGUCGUAGAGGAGGAAAUGCAGGGGGGUUCUCCCUUCUGUUUGACCUAUUCUAGGAGGAAGGACGGGCUAAGUUCGUGCCAGCCGCCGCAGUAA
rnacentral:rRNA from 1 species